rnacentral:rRNA from 1 species
UGGGUGGUAAUGCCGGAUGCUCCAGUUGAUCGCAUGGUCUUCUGGGAAAUCUUUCGCGGUAUGGGAUGGGGUCGCGUCCUAUCAGCUUGACGGCGGGGNAACNGCCCACCGUNGCUUCGACGGGUAGCCGGCCUGAGAGGGCGACCGNCCACAUUGGGACUGAGAUACGNCCCAGACUCCUACGGGAGGCAGCAGUGGGGAAUAUUGCACAAUGGGCGCAAGCCUGAUGCAGCGACGCCGCGUGAGGGAUGNAGNCCUUCGGGUUGUAAACCUCUUUUAUCGGNGAGCNAGCGUGAGUGAGUUUACCCNUUGAAUAAGCACCGGCUAACUACGUGCCAGCAGCCGCGGUAAUACGUAGGGUGCAAGCGUUANCNGGAAUUAUUGGGCGUAAAGGGCUCNUAGGCGGUUCUNNAGGGGCCGNUGUGAAANUCCAUCGCUUAACGGUGGAUUCCGCNCCGGGUACCGGGCGGCUAGUGG